GAUGAACGCUAGCGGCAGGCUUAACACAUGCAAGUCGAGGGGUAGAAGGAGCUUGCUCCUUUGAGACCGGCGCACGGGUGCGUAACGCGUAUGCAAUCUACCUUUUGCAGAGGGAUAGCCCAGAGAAAUUUGGAUUAAUACCUCAUAGUAUGUGAGGAUGGCAUCAUUUUCACAUUAAAGUCACAACGGCAAAAGAUGAGCAUGCGUCCCAUUAGCUAGUUGGUAAGGUAACGGCUUACCAAGGCUACGAUGGGUAGGGGUCCUGAGAGGGAGAUCCCCCACACUGGUACUGAGACACGGACCAGACUCCUACGGGAGGCAGCAGUGAGGAAUAUUGGACAAA
rnacentral:rRNA from 1 species